UACGUAGGGUGCGAGCGUUGUCCGGAUUUAUUGGGCGUAAAGGGCUCGUAGGCGGCGUGUCGCGUCGGGAGUGAAAGCCCGUUGCUUAACGGCGGGUUGGCUUUCGGUACGGGCAUGCUGGAGUGCGGCAGGGGAGACUGGAAUUCCUGGUGUAGCGGUGGAAUGCGCAGAUAUCAGGAGGAACACCGAUAGCGAAGGCAGCUCGCUGGGACGGUACUGACGCUGAGGUGCGAAAGCGUGGGGAGCGAACAGG
rnacentral:rRNA from 1 species